rnacentral:rRNA from 1 species
CCUACGGGCUGCAGCAGUGGGGAAUAUUGCACAAUGGGCGCAAGCCUGAUGCAGCCAUGCCGCGUGUAUGAAGAAGGCCUUCGGGUUGUAAAGUACUUUCAGCGGGGAGGAAGGUGUUGUGGUUAAUAACCACAGCAAAUGACGUUACCCGCAGAAGAAGCACCGGCUAACUCCGUGCCAGCAGCCGCGGUAAUACGGAGGGUGCAAGCGUUAAUCGGAAUUACUGGGCGUAAAGCGCACGCGGGCGGUCUGUCAAGUCGGAUGUGAAAUCCCCGGGCUCAACCUGGGAACUGCAUUCGAAACUGGCAGGCUAGAGUCUUGUAGAGGGGGGUAGAAUUCCAGGUGUAGCGGUGAAAUGCGUAGAGAUCUGGAGGAAUACCGGUAGCGAAGGCGGCCCCCUGGACAAAGACUGACGCUCAGGUGUGAAAGCGUGGGGAGCAGACAGGAUUAGAUACCCCCGUAGUC